GGGGGCUCCCACAGGGGGUUAUCGGCCUCAGCACAGAUCCUUGCCUCAGGAGUAGAGCAGCAGCAGAAUAGCGUCUCCAUGAGAACGCGGCAGAGAAGAACACGCCUGCAGCUCAGACAUCCUGCUCAUCCACCGUCAGAGCCACUGUACUUUCUAUCGUUCCUGGAAGAAGAAAUCUCCAACUAGAGUAGAGCCUCAAGACAAGGCAGGACUUCAUUCUGCUAGAAAAUUCCAAAGUCUCACGGAAAAGAAGAGCUUUUUUCUCUCAUGAUUUCCAAGGAACGCGGGCUGUGGCCUUAAAUUCUCUUCCCACGUACUCUCCUUGCUCCUGCUUGCCAACUGCAGCCUCCCGGGGCUGUCCAAAUCCAUCUGUCAGGAGUCCAUGCAGACGAAAAUUGCGUUAGCUUUUGUAAAUCACUGUGAUGGUUUACUCCUGUUGUCCUUUUCAACAACUCCUGUAAUUGAAGAGGGACCCUUGAGAAACGACAGAGAAGAUUCUGUGACCCAAUCAGCUUCAGCAGAAGUGAGUGCUGGGUUUGUCUUCCAUGUGCUGCUCUC
rnacentral:lncRNA from 1 species